rnacentral:rRNA from 1 species
UACGAAGGGGGCUAGCGUUGCUCGGAAUUACUGGGCGUAAAGCGCACGUAGGCGGUCUUUUAAGUCGGGGGUGAAAUCCUGGAGCUCAACUCCAGAACUGCCUUCGAUACUGGAAGACUUGAGUCCGGGAGAGGUGAGUGGAACUGCGAGUGUAGAGGUGAAAAUUCGUAGAUAUCGGGAGGAACACCUGUGGCGAAGGCGGCCACCUGGACGACAACUGACGCUGAGACGCGAAAAGCGUGGGGGAGCAAACAGGG